GAAUUUCCAAACAAGCAAAGAUCCGCAAGUUCUAAGAAAUAGUAGAGAAAUUACUCACCUGACUUAGUCCUUGAUUGGGAUAUGGCUUUCCAAGAAAAUAAAAUAUUCACCAGAAAACUUCCUUAAGAAGAUAUUGCAUCCAUGCUAUAAAUAUCCAUUCAUUAAAUCUGCAACAAGCACAACGUUUGGCUUUUGUCAUUGAGCUAAAAUGGAAGCAGGAAAAGCAAAGAUGGUGCAUUUAGAAUUUCAAGAUUUGCUACCAAUUAUGGCCAGAAAACUAGGAGGAGAUGGACUGAUGAACGAGCUAUGCAAAGGGUACAGAAUUUUAAUGGAUGGUGACAAGGGAGUGAUCACCCUUGAUAGCCUAAAGAAGAACUCUGUGCUACUGGGGUUGCAAGAUUUCAGUGAAGAGGAGUUAAAGAAUAUGAUUAUGGAAGGAGAUAUGAAUGGUGAUGGAGCUCUUAAUCAGAUUGAAUUUUGUAUUUUGAUGUUUAGAUUAAGUCCUGACUUGUUAGCUGUGGCUCAACAAUUGUUACAUAUAUCUUUUGAAAAGAAUUAAGCCGAGGGUCUACUGAAAACAGCUUCUUCAAUCCUUUCGGUUGGGGGUAAGGCAUGCGUGCAUAUUAUCUUCCCUAGACCCCCACCUUGUAUAGUUGUUAUUGUUGUUGUAUCUUCUGAAAAGAAUGCCAUCCACCAUAAGUGAUGCUGCAUGCAGUAUGUGUCCUCUUCUUUCUUAUUUACUGAUCUUGAUAUGCUGAUUCACAUGUAAUGUUUCACACUUUCACUUGAUUUUUGAAUGUUACACUUGAUCUGCAUCUUGCACUCGAACAAGUCCCUUUGUCUGAUAGUAGCUCAUAAGGAAUCAAUUCGACUCCAAAUUUCGGAUAAUGUGAAGCUAUUGCCGAAAAAUUUAACCUCUGUUAGAUUUUGUUGAACUGUUUAUCAAAAAAAAUUAACAAGAACUUACAUCAGGUGUAGUAUUUUGCUACUGUUAAAAAAACAAAAUAAAAAGAACUCACCCGUCUAUUAUUUCUCGUUUAUUUCUGGAGCCUAGUGCAGCUUUUGUUGCGGUUUCUACCAAGUAUUUAUGCAAUUUCUAGUGUUUUUGGUUAAAUCUUUUUUUUCCCUCGUACCGCUAGACGAUCGCCAAAAUUUGUUACUCCCUCGUGUCCACAAUAAGUGAUAAUUUUAUUUUUUUUUAUUUUGAUCCAAAAUAAAUGUCUAUUUACAUAAUCAAGAAGAAAUUAAUUUUAUUUUUUCAAAAUUUACCUUAUUUACAUAUUUCAAUGUGUCAAGGAAACAAUUAAUUAAG
rnacentral:lncRNA from 1 species